rnacentral:rRNA from 1 species
UACGGAGGGGGCUAGCGUUGUUCGGAAUUACUGGGCGUAAAGCGCACGUAGGCGGCUUUGUAAGUUAGAGGUGAAAGCCCAGGGCUCAACCCUGGAAUUGCCUUUAAGACUGCAUCGCUUGAACAUCGGAGAGGUAAGUGAAAUUCCGAGUGUAGAGGUGAAAUUCGUAGAUAUUAGGAAGAACACCAGUGGCGAAGGCGGCUCACUGGUCCGGUACUGACGCUGAGGUGCGAAAGCGUGGGGAGCAAACAGG